rnacentral:rRNA from 1 species
CUGCGGAAGGAUCAUUACCGAGUGAGGGCCCUCUGGGUCCAACCUCCCACCCGUGUUUAUUUUACCUUGUUGCUUCGGCGGGCCCGCCUUAACUGGCCGCCGGGGGGCUUACGCCCCCGGGCCCGCGCCCGCCGAAGACACCCUCGAACUCUGUCUGAAGAUUGUAGUCUGAGUGAAAAUAUAAAUUAUUUAAAACUUUCAACAACGGAUCUCUUGGUUCCGGCAUCGAUGAAGAACGCAGCGAAAUGCGAUACGUAAUGUGAAUUGCAAAUUCAGUGAAUCAUCGAGUCUUUGAACGCACAUUGCGCCCCCUGGUAUUCCGGGGGGCAUGCCUGUCCGAGCGUCAUUGCUGCCCUCAAGCACGGCUUGUGUGUUGGGCCCCGUCCUCCGAUCCCGGGGGACGGGCCCGAAAGGCAGCGGCGGCACCGCGUCCGGUCCUCGAGCGUAUGGGGCUUUGUCACCCGCUCUGUAGGCCCGGCCGGCGCUUGCCGAUCAACCCAAAUUUUUAUCCAGGUUGACCUCGGAUCAGGUAGGGAUACCCGCUGAACUUAAGCAUAUCAAAA